GCCCCAGUGGUGGAAUUGGUAGACGCGGCAGACUCAAAAUCUGCUAUCGGCAACGAUGUGGGGGUUCAAGUCCCUCCUGGGGCACCA
rnacentral:tRNA from 1 species